AUUGAACGCUGGCGGCAGGCCUAACACAUGCAAGUCGAGCGGAGCGGCGGACGGGCGAGUAAUGCCUAGGUAUCUGCCUGGCCGUUGGGGAUAACGUCCGGAAACGGGCGCUAAUACCUCCUAUUCUCAGACGAGCCUAGGUCGGAGUAGCUAGUUGGUGGGGUAAAGGCCUACCAAGGCGACGAUCCGUAACUGGUCUGAGAGGAUGAUCAGUCACACUGGGACUUAGACACGGUCCAGACUCCUACGGGAGGCAGCAGUGGGGAAUAUUGGACAAUGGGCGAAAGCCUGAUCCAGCCAUGCCGCGUGUGUGAAGAAGGUCUUCGGAUUGUAAAGCACUUUAAGUUGGGAAGCGUUACCAACAGAAUAAGCACCGGCUAACUUCGUGCCAGCAGCCGCGGUAAUAC
rnacentral:rRNA from 1 species